rnacentral:rRNA from 1 species
UCUUAUAAUACCCUGAACACACAAAUUGCCAUCUUGUUUUGGAAGCUAAGCAGUGUUAGUCUUGGUUAGGAUUUGGAUGGGAGACCACCACUAAUCUAGGCAUCUUCAGAG